AGCAGAUUUGUCAAACACUUCCCAAGCACUAACAAGAAAUAAUUAAUGAUAUAGUAAUAAAGCCCAGGUUAGUCAUAUGCCAUACAAUGUCAUCUGUACUCUCAAAAGGAUUUAGGCUCAUGGAAGGAAUCUUAAUUUCAGAAUAUUAAUAGUGAUAAACUCUAAAAGGUAAAAAUAGCUGAGUGAAUGACUUAAACUACUGUACUGUAAAGUGAUGUCAUUGUUUAUACUAAUUUCUGUGACUGAAGUCUUGAAGAUUUAGAGCUGUGUUACUGGGAUAAGUCAACUUCAUAUUCACAUCUAGAUAUUUUAUUCCACAAAUAUAAUGAUAGAGAUUCAACAGCAUUUACAGUUGUCAUCACCAGAAAACUCUUGCUGGUCCAGUCUGAGCUCUGUAAAAAGUUAUCAUCCAAACGUGCUGCAGUCUCCAAUCUGAGCCAGCUGAGCACAGGAGCUUUCUGCCAGGGCUUCAAGGACCAUGAAGACACCUGGUGUUGGUUCACAACUGGAACACAUCUGAACCUGGUUCUAGCUAGCCUAGGUUGAGCUGAAAACUUACACUAGUUGGGGGAUUUCUCAUUCAGGUCAUGCACCUUGAGUGGACAACAAACACUUCAGAAAGGGGAAUAAUGGUGGAGAAGCACAAAUAACCAAUGGUGAAUAAGGAACACCCUUGUUCACACACAAAUGCCCUUGUUUGCACAUGAAUAUGGGUUUUUGUAUGAAAAAGACCCAUUCUCCAAACAUCCAUGUGAAGAGAAACCCAUUCAGCAUGAAUGUUUGUGAACACUGAAUAACAAGUGGAUGAACAAGCCUGAAUCAAACAGCCGUUCAGACUUUGAACCAAUGUUCGCAAACACUGGUUUGCAUUAUUCACCCAGUCCUGUGAACAGCCAUCUGUUCAAUAACUGAUAAUGGACAUGGAAGUUGGGUUGUUGGGUAGAUAUGGCUCAUCAGGGAGACAAUAGCUAUCUAUUUGCAGGAUUUCUACUUAGUCCGUUGCAGGCGUAGCCUCUGUUCCUGUUGACCUGUGAUAUCGUGUUUUUCUUGUACUGUCAACAUUAGGUUUUGCUUAAUAUAUAAUUUGAAAUAAAGUUGUGUAUACACAUAUACA
rnacentral:lncRNA from 1 species